rnacentral:rRNA from 1 species
GCAUAUCAAUAAGCGGAGGAAAAGAAACCAACAGGGAUUGCCCCAGUAACGGCGAGUGAAGCGGCAAGAGCUCAAAUUUGAAAGCUGGCUCCUUCGGGGUCCGCAUUGUAAUUUGCAGAGGAUGCUUCGGGAGCGGUCCCCAUCUAAGUGCCCUGGAACGGGACGUCAUAGAGGGUGAGAAUCCCGUAUGGGAUGGGGUGUCCGCGCCCGUGUGAAGCUCCUUCGACGAGUCGAGUUGUUUGGGAAUGCAGCUCUAAAUGGGUGGUAAAUUUCAUCUAAAGCUAAAUAUUGGCCGGAGACCGAUAGCGCACAAGUAGAGUGAUCGAAAGAUGAAAAGCACUUUGAAAAGAGAGUUAAAAAGCACGUGAAAUUGUUGAAAGGGAAGCGCUUGCGACCAGACUCGCUCGCGGGGUUCAGCCGGCAUUCGUGCCGGUGUACUUCCCCGCGGGCGGGCCAGCGUCGGUUUGGGUGGUCGGUCAAAGGCCCUCGGAAGGUAACGCCCCCUCGGGGGCGUCUUAUAGCCGAGGGUGCAAUGCGACCUACCCGGACCGAGGAACGCGCUUCGGCUCGGACGCUGGCAUAAUGGUCGUAAGCGACCCGUCUUGAAACACGGACCAAGGAGUCUAACAUCUACGCGAGUGUUCGGGUGUCAAACCCGUGCGCGCAGUGAAAGCGAACGGAGGUGGGAACCCUUUUGGGUGCACCAUCGACCGAUCCUGAAGUCUUCGGAUGGAUUUGAGUAAGAGCGUAGCUGUUGGGACCCGAAAGAUGGUGAACUAUGCCUGAAUAGGGCGAAGCCAGAGGAAACUCUGGUGGAGGCUCGUAGCGGUUCUGACGUGCAAAUCGAUCGUCGAAUUUGGGUAUGGGGGCAAAAGACUAAUCAAACCCUCGGG